CAAACACAAACACAGCAUACAUCCACAAAAACUGCUAUUGGUUUAUUCAUUCCAGCACAUCAUACAGGCUGUAAAUUUCAGGAAUGUACCUUAGUUAUUAGGGUGUACUGCAUCCACUAUACUGUGUUGUGUUGUGUUGAUGUAUAAAUAUGUGCAAUCAUCGCCACUAUUCUGAAAUAUGUUACGACGUCACUGGAAAAUGCAACCACGACAACGAGGUUAUGCAAUAUGACGUACGACAAAUAUUUUCAGUCGAGAUGAGUGUCGGGCUGUAUCUAUAUAUUAAUACGCCUUGUGUGUGUGUGCGCACGGUGAGGCCACGUCACACAAAUCACAGGUCACUUUCUUACGACGUGGCGUUACGCUAAAAUUUACCAAGUUAAAGAAAACGCAAAUCAGGGGGUUACUAUAUAAAUAUUUAAUUCUCUUUUCUUAUUUUUUUUUUAAAAUAAAACUCUUUUUCCUUACUCAUUAAAAUUAAUUUUUAUUUUAAUUUCAAAUGGUUUUAUUUGUUUUUUUGUUGUAAAAGCCCGCUGGUCGUUUAAGAUAGAAUAAUUAAAUUUUACCCCCGGUUUACCAUGUGCGCGCCGUAUCUCACGGAAACAAAGUUUAUUAACUGAAAAAUGAAAACCGAAGCGAAGAAAGUUGUCUCUUUUUCAAAGUAAUCCUGAAAAAAGUUAUUUCAAACAAGGUUUACUCAUCACGAGGUUAGAUUAAAGCUUAUUUGUUUCUUCUAUCUUUUUUGUGUUCUGGGACCGAAGUUGCUUUCUUUUAAAAAAACUAUCAAAUUCGAAUGAUAAUUCGAAUCUAAGAAGUAAACAAAACAGAAGUAAACAAAACUGUUGUCAUUGUAGAGCGACUGUUGAUGUCGAGCGAGAAUAAAAAAAGUUUAUGUUGUUGCCAGAAAUAUUUGUUAUAAAGAAGAAAGACGUACGAUAAUAUAACGUCAAAAAGAGAACUGAUUGGAAAUGUAUCAGACAAUUGUAGCUAGCUAUACAUUUUCAAUUUGUUUUCUUUGGGAUGAAGCGAAGUUUAAUAAUCGAAGUAAAAAACUGAUUGGUCUUUUAUCCAGAGACGCUAGCUAACUGAGAAAGCCAAAGAAAGGCAGGUGUGUUGUUUAGUUUAUCUGGUAAAGAGAUAAGUUUAGGUGUGUAACGUUUUUUUUUAACCGUUUUGACUUUCAGAGCUCAGCUUUUCCUUUAAAUUUUUAGUUCCUUGUUGAGUCUUGAGCGUAAAUGCGUUUUCUUUUGACACAAUUUUUAUAAGAAUCUAUAAUGUAAAGCGACGUUUUUAAGUCGUUUACACGCUUCCAGCUAAACUUUCCCUUUAAUAUGAAGUUAAAUAUGUUUUGUCUUUAGCCUGAACAUAUUUAACAUUUUUUGUAAGAAUAUACUCUAAACAAUGGGUCAGAAUAUCCUAAGAAUAUGUCUAAGCUUGGUUGUUUCUUUUAAUAUAAAAAUUUGUAUGACUGAACCUUUUUCUCUCCAAAACAAUGGGCAAGUACACCAGGGAAAGCUAAGAACAUGAAGGCCGAAACGGGGAAAAAAAAACGCUAUUCUUAUAAAAUACAGCGUGUAUAUAAUAGAGAAGAGUUUAUAUAAAAUGUAGAAAGUAUUUUUUCGUUGUUACUGUUUUUAACGCUGCGAAGUGGUUGAUGUCGUUAUAAUAAACCUUAAUGUAAACAAAGUUAAAUCAAUGUUUACAUUUGUUACGUUACCGUGUAAAAUAAUAUUCGAUUCUUCAAUUCGAAAACACUGCAUUGUUAUCAUGCACUGCACGUUUGCGCAUUGGGAAGGUUGCUAUAUGCAAUAGACUAAAUAGCUAAUUUGGUAUGAUGCAUUAGAAUCUGUACGUUGUGGAAACUUUGCAAUAACCUUAUUUGUGUGACUUAUCGAUUUUUUCUAAUGUCUGGUAUACCAUUUUCCCUUUUAUGUUUCGGGUAUGGCAAAGCAAGUAUAUAGUUUUAACAGAUUUGUUAGCCACCUUCGAUUUUGUUAAACUUUUUGCAUUUUUAUUUGUUGCUGGACAUUGUUCUGUUUCAGCGGGUACAAAUAUAAUGCAGAUUGUGAGCAACUUCAAUCCCAGGGUUUUUUUCUCUUUUAUUUUUUUUUUUUAUUGCUGCACAUAUUUAUUUUUUUGGACGUUUUGUUCUAGUGGUUAUAAACUAGAAUAAUACAAAUUGUGACUUUUAAAAAUUCAUAUUACUGUGUUGUAUGUUUUCGUUUGGUAUCCCUUACAUCGGUUUAAUGAGAGAUUCAGUGGAUUCCCCCACGGGUAUUCAGCUAGUCUCUAUAUUAAUACGCCUUGUGUGUGUGUGCGCACGGUGAGGCCACGUCACACAAAUCACAGGUCAUUUUCUUACGACGUGGCGUUACGCUAAAAUUUACCAAGUUAAAGAAAACGCAAAUCAGGGGGUUACUAUAUAAAUAUUUAAUUCUCUUUUCUUAUUUUUUUUUUUAAAUAAAACUCUUUUUCCUUACUCAUUAAAACUAAUUUUUAUUUUAAUUUCAAAUGGUUUAUUUGUUAUUUUGUUGUAAAAGCCCCGCUGGUCGUUUAAGAUAGAAUAAUUAAAUUUUACCCCCGGUUUACCAUGUGCGCGCCGUAUCUCACGGAAACAAAGUUUAUUAACUGAAAAAUGAAAACCGAAGCGAAGAAAGUUGUCUCUUUUUCAAAGUAAUCCUGAAAAAAGUUAUUUCAAACAAGGUUUACUCAUCACGAGAGCGACUGUUGAUGUCGAGCGAGAAUAAAAAAGUUUAUGUUGUUGCCAGAAAUAUUUGUUAUAAAGAAGAAAAACGUACGAUAAUAUAACGUCGAAAAGAGAACUGAUUAGAAAUGUAUCAGACAAUUGUAGCUAGCUAUACAUUUUAAUUUGUUUUCUUUGGGAUGAAGCGAAGUUUAAUAAUUGAAGUAAAAAACUGAUUGGUCUUUUAUCCAGAGACGCUAGCUAACUGAGAAAGCCAAAAAAAGGCAGGUGUGUUGUUUAGUUUAUCUGGUAAAGAGAUAAGUUUAGGUGUGUAACGUUUUUUUUUAACCGUUUUAACUUUCAGAGCUCAGCUUUUCCUUUAAAUUUUUAGUUCCUUGUUGAGUCUUAAAUGCGUUUUCUUUUGACACAAUUUUUAUAAGAAUCUAAAAUGUAAAGCGACGUUUUUAAGCCGUUUACACGCUUCCAGCUAAACUUUCCCUUUAAUAUAAAGUUAAAUAUGUUUUGUCUUUAGCCUGAACAUAUUUAACAUUUUUUGUAAGAAUAUACUCUAAACAAUGGGUCAGAAUAUCCUAAGAAUGUCUAAGCUUGGUUGUUUCUUUUGAUAUAAAAAUUUGUAUGACUGAACUUUUUUCUCUCCAAAACAAUGGGCAAGUACACCAGGGAAAGCUGAGAACAUGAAGGCCGAAACGAAAAAAACAAACACUAUUCUUAUAAAAUACAGCGUGUAUAUAAUAGAGAAGAGUUUAUAUAAAAUGUAGAAAGUAUUUUUUCGUUGUUACUGUUUUUAACGCUACGAAGUGGUUGAUGUCGUUAUAAUAAACCUUAAUGUAAACAAAGUUAAAUCAAUGUUUACAUUUGUUACGUUACCGUUUAAAAUAAUAUUCGAUUCUUCAAUUCGAAAACACUGCAUUGUUAUCAUGCACUGCACGUUUGCGCAUUGGGAAGGUUGCUAUAUGCAAUAGACUAAAUAGCUAAUUUGGUAUGAUGCAUUAGAAUCUGUACGUUGUGGAAACUUUGCAAUAACCUUAUUUGUGUGACUUAUCGAUUUUUUCUAAUGUCUGGUAUACCAUUUUCCCUUUUAUAUUUCGGGUAUGACAAAGCAAGUAUAUAGUUUUAACAGAUUUGUUAGCCACCUUCGAUUUUGUUAAACUUUUUGCAUUUUUAUUUGUUGCUGGACAUGCUUAUAUUUUUAAGCGUUCUGCUUCAGCGGGUACAAAUAUAACGCAGAUUGUGAGCAACUUCAAUCCCAGGGUUUUUUUCUCUUUUAUUGUUAUUUUUUUAUUGCUGCACAUAUUUAUAUUUUUGGACGUUUUGUUCUAGUGGUUAUAAACUAGAAUAAUACAAAUUGUGACUUUUAAAGAUUCAUAUUACUGUGUUGUA